GACGAACGCUGGCGGCGUGCCUAAUACAUGCAAGUAGAACGCUGAAGAGAGGAGCUUGCUCUUCUUGGAUGAGUUGCGAACGGGUGAGUAACGCGUAGGUAACCCGCCUUGUAGCGGGGGAUAACUAUUGGAAACGAUAGCUAAUACCGCAUAACAAUGGAUGACACAUGUCAUUUAUUUGAAAGGGGCAAUUGCUCCACUACAAGAUGGACCUGCGUUGUAUUAGCUAGUAGGUGAGGUAAUGGCUCACCUAGGCGACGAUACAUAGCCGACCUGAGAGGGUGAUCGGCCACACUGGGACUGAGACACGGCCCAGACUCCUACGGGAGGCAGCAGUAGGGAAUCUUCGGCAAUGGGGGCAACCCUGACCGAGCAACGCCGCGUGAGUGAAGAAGGUUGUCGGAUCGUAAAGCUCUGUUGUAAGUCAAGAACGGGUGUGAGAGUGGAAAGUUCACACUGUGACGGUAGCUUACCAGAAAGGGACGGCUAACUACGUG
rnacentral:rRNA from 1 species